rnacentral:rRNA from 1 species
CGCGGCCUAUCAGCUUGUUGGUGAGGUAACGGCUCACCAAGGCAUCGACGGGUAGCUGGUCUGAGAGGACGAUCAGCCACACUGGGACUGAGACACGGCCCAGACUCCUGCGGGAGGCAGCAGUGGGGAAUCUUGCGCAAUGGGCGAAAGCCUGGCGCAGCAACGCCGCGUGGGGGAUGAAGGCUCUCGGGUUGUAAACCCCUUUCAGCAGGGACGAAAUUGACGGUACCUGCAGGAGAAGCCCCGGCCAACUACGUGCCAGCAGCCGCGGUGACACGUAGGGGGCGAGCGUUGUCCGGAAUUAUUGGGCGUAAAGAGCUCGUAGGCGGUUUAGUAAGUCAGAUGUGAAAGGUUGGGGCUCAACCCUAAGACUGCAUCCGAUACUGCUAUGACUAGAGUCCGGUAGAGGAGUGUGGAAUUCCUGGUGUAGCGGUGAAAUGCGCAGAUAUCAGGAGGAACACCGACGGCGAAGGCAGCACUCUGGGCCGGUACUGACGCUCAGGAGCGAAAGCGUGGGUAGCAAACAGGAUUAGAUACCCUGGUAGUCCACGCCGUAAACGUUGGGCACUAGGUGUGGGGCCUUAUCAACGGGUUCCGUGCCGUAGCUAACGCAUUAAGUGCCCCGCCUGGGGAGUACGG